UCCAUCCAUAUGACACCAAGCUGAAAACAUUCUCCAAACCACUCAAAGUAAACUAUAGAAGAUGAACUUAAAUACCAAUUAAUACACAUAAAUAAGCCAAAAGCAUAAUUAGAAUACAAAGCUAAGCAGAAUGAAUAUAUCCAUAAUGCUUUGUGUGCUUAUUAUUUUUAGUUAUAUUAUACACAUAUGUUGAUUUAGCCAAAGAGAUGGUGUUUCUUCUUUCCAUGAGCUUCCUCAUCUUCCUCCUUUGAUUCCUUUUUCUCAUGAUGUUCAUGAAAGGCAAAUCCACCAGAUCCAACUGCAGCUGCUGCUGCAACCUCUUCUUCUAUCUUGUGCCUAUGAGCAUUUUCUGGAUCUUUCUCUGACUCAUGCUUCUCAUACUACAUAAAACCAAUUAAUUUCAGCAAAUUAGCAAAACCAAUUACUUUCGAAUUUUCAACUUUAGUUUAAAAAGGUCAAAAUUCUAUACAUAUUGUGCGACAUUUGUCCUACCAACAUUCAAUCAAAUUUGAACCGUACAAUCAAGAAUAUUACGUUGACAUUUCAACUUUGUAUUUUGGAUUUAAUUUACAAAAAUUAAGUGUAAAUUGUCCAAUGAUCAGAUUUGCUUACACAAAGUUCGACCAAUUGUGUGUAGUCGUCUCUAAUAGUAGGGUGACUGAUCUAGUUUUGAUUAUGCAAUUUUUAGAGUCAUAUUACAAGUUUGUCCAUAAAUCAUUCAAGCUGAGCUCGAGUAUCUGUCCACUUAUUAGUAAAUUUGUGUCGUACCAUUCAAAUAUGGCUCAAAUUUUGAGAAAUCAAUUCUUUACUAUUUAAUUAAAUAGCAAUUAGGAGUAUUGACAAUAAAGUUAAAGAAAAAUUACCAGAGCAAAACCACCAGCAGCUGCAGUACCAAACUCUCCAAGGUGUUCAAGUUUCUUGUGGUGUUUCUCCUCCUUCUUAUAAUCAACAUCAUCGUCAUCACGACGAUUAGUAUCCUCGCCAUAACCACCACCGGUGGUUGUUUUGGUGUCUGAGUCACCAUAACCACCACCGUACCCACCAGCGGNGAAUCACCAUAUCCACCACCGUAUCCACCACCGGUGGUGGUUUUAGUGUUUGAGUCACCAUAACCACCACCGUAUCCACCACCGGUGGUUGUUUUGUUGUCAGAGUCACCAUAGCCACUACCAUAACCACCACCAGUUGUAGUUUUGGUGUCAGAGUAUCCUCCACCACCACCAUAGCCACCAGAUGUUUCGUCAUUCGAGUAAUUCGAUGUUUUCUUAUUGUAACCAGUUUCAUAUUCACCACCAGAUGUCUCAUUACCAUAUGAUGAUGGUUUAUUGUAACCACCAGCAGAUGUUUCAUCAUUGGAAUAAUUAGUGGAUUUUUUGUAACCAG
rnacentral:lncRNA from 1 species